AGGCGAUGAAGGACGUACUAGACUGCGAUAAGCUAUGGGGAGCUGUCAAGAAGCUUUGAUCCAUAGAUUUCCCAAUGGGGCAACCCAGCUAGUAGUAAUACUAGCUAUGUGAGUAACAAAGAGUAGAAAGAAGAACUAAGAAUCCUUAUCUAGUUUUAAAACUUUGUUAAGAGACUUCAUCUUUAAAAUAGACUUUAAAGAUUAAAAGCUUCAAGAUUAAAACUUUAAAGAUUGUAAAGAUUAAUUAUAAAGAUUAUUAGAUAUUUCCAUAAAGUAGAAUAUCUUAGUGUUUAAGUCUUUAGUUUUAAAAACCUAAAAAUCUUUUCUAUUCUUUGUUGCUCACAGGCAAACCUAGUGAAGUGAAACAUCUCAGUAACUAGAGGAAAAGAAAUCAAAUGAGAUUCUCUUAGUAGCGGCGAGCGAAAGGGGAAUAGGGCAAACCCAAUGCUUGCAUUGGGGGUUGAGGACUGCAACAUCCACUAAAAUACUUUAAUAGAACAUUCUGGAAAGGAUAGCCAUAGAGGGUGAUAGUCCCGUAUAUGAAAAGGUAUUUUUAGGUAGCAGUAUCCAGAGUAGGUCAGGACACGUGAAAUCCGGGCUGAAGCAGGGGGGACCACCCUCCAACCCUAAAUACUACUACUACACCGAUAGCGAACCAGUACCGUGAGGGAAAGGUGAAAAGAACCGCAGUGAGCGGAGUGAAAUAGAACCUGAAACCAUUUGCCUACAAUCAUUCAGAGCCCUAUUGUGGGUCUCAUUAAGAAAUUAGCUAGGCUUGUCUUUGAGUGAUAAAUCAAUGAGUUUGCAAUUUAUUUGUGCGACAGCCUUAAGGCUAGUCUCCGCACAAAUUGCUGCACAACAUUGAUUUCUCAUCUCAAAUACUGUGCCUUUGGUUUUUCGUUAGGAAAGUGAGAUUCUAUGGUAUUUCAUAGAAUGUUUGCUUACAAAAUGGAAUCCCAAAAAUUCUAGCAUUGUAUGUGAUUUUUAGGGGCAGUAUUUAUAUUGUUGAAAUAUUACAAAUGAAACACACUUUUAGUGUGUUGCAGUAAGCAAUGUUUUUCUCCCUAAAAAGUCGCCACAAGAUGAAUUUAGCUUGAUUUUUUAGUGAGACCCACAAGGGUGAUGGACUGCCUUUUGCAUAAUGAUCCUGCGAGUUGUGGUAUCUGGCAAGGUUAAACCAAUGUGAAGCCGUAGCGAAAGCGAGUCUUAAUAGGGCGCAGCCCCCUCAUUUAUGCCUAACUUCAAGGUAUGCUUGUCUUUUAGUGAUAAAUGCUUGAGUUUGAGAAAAUUUUGUGCGAUAGCCAUUAAGGCUAGUCUCCGCAAUUUUCUUUACACAGUAAUCGUUUCUCAUCUAAAAUACUUUGCAUACAAAACUUUAUAGAAUCCCAAAUGAAUAAUUUAAUUUAAGAUUCUAGUAUCUUGCGAUAAAUUUUUAAGGUUUUCAAGAAAAAUGUGCUGGGAGUUACCUUAGCAGUAAUGACCAAACAUUUUUCGCAGAAUCCUUAAAAAUUAUCCAAGAGACGAAUCUUUUUGAAGUUUAAGUAUAAAUGAGGGGGCUUAAGUCAGAUGCUGCAGACCCGAAGCUGAGUGAUCUAUCCAUGGCCAAGUUGAAAGUGGGGUAACACCCACCGGAGGACUGAACUCGUACCCAUUGAAACGGGUUGGGAUGAGCUGUGGAUAGGGGUGAAAGGCCAAUCAAACUCAGUGAUAGCUGGUUCUCUUCGAAAUAUAUUUAGGUAUAGCCUCAAGUGAUAGUAAUAGGGGGUAGAGCUCUGAUUGGGCUAGGGCUGCUCACCGCGGUACCAACCCCUGUCAAACUACGAAUACCUAUUACCGUAUCUUGGGAGUCAGGCGGUGGGUGAUAAAAUCAAUCGUCAAAAGGGGAACAACCCAGACUACCAACUAAGGUCCCCAAGUUCUAUUCUAAGUGGAAAAUGAUGUGAAGUUACUCAGACAACCAGGAGGUUGGCUUAGAAGCAGCCAUCCUUUAAAGAUAGCGUAACAGCUCACUGGUCUAGUGAUUUUGCGCAGAAAAUAUAACGGGGCUAAGAUAGACACCGAAGUUGUAGAUUGUGCUGAUGCACAGUGGUAGAAGAGCGUUGCAUACAGCGUCGAAGCCAUACCGGUAAGGAGUGGUGGAGCGUAUGCAAGUGAGCAUGCAGGAAUGAGUAGCGAUAAAAGGGGUGAGAAUCCCCUUCGCCGAAAAUCUAAGGUUUCCUACGCUAUGCUCGUCAUCGUAGGGUUAGUCGGGUCCUAAGACAAGUCCGAAAGGGGUAGUCGAUGGAAAAUGGGUUAAUAUUCCCAUACCAAUAUUAGUGUGCGAUGGGGGGACGCAUAGGGUCAAGAUGAGCCAAGUGAUAGAAGUCUGGUCGAAGGGUGCAAGUAAGAAGAUUGGCAAAUCCGCUUCCUUUUCCCAAACCCAACAGGCUCUUUGAAGUCUUCGGAUGGAUAGGAGAAUCAUUAAGAUCGUCGUGCCAAGAAAAGCCUCUAAGUUUAGCUA
rnacentral:rRNA from 1 species